rnacentral:rRNA from 1 species
AUUGAACGCUGGCGGAAUGCUUUACACAUGCAAGUCGAACGGCAGCACGGACUUCGGUCUGGUGGCGAGUGGCGAACGGGUGAGUAAUGUAUCGGAACGUGCCCAGUCGUGGGGGAUAACGUAGUGAAAAUUACGCUAAUACCGCAUACGAUCUAUGGAUGAAAGCGGGGGAUCGCAAGACCUCGCGCGAUUGGAGCGGCCGAUAUCAGAUUAGGUAGUUGGUGGGGUAAAGGCCCACCAAGCCAACGAUCUGUAGCUGGUCUGAGAGGACGACCGGCCAAACUGGAACUGAGAAACGGUCCAGACUCCGACGGUAGGCAGCAGUGGGGAAUGUUGGACAAUGGGCGAAAGCCUGAUCCAGCCAUUCCGCGUGCAGGAUGAAGGCCCUCGGGUUGUAAACUGCUUUUGUACAGAACGAAAAGGUUUCUACUAAUACUAGGAGCUCAUGACGGUACUGUAAGAAUAAGCACCGGCUAACUACGUGCCAGCCGCCGCCGUAA